AUGGGGGUGCUCGCCGACAGGCUCAGGGCCUUCUCCACCAACCGAUGGCUCGUCUUCGUCGCCGCAAUGUGGCUGCAGUCCAUGGCCGGCAUCGGCUACCUCUUCGGCGCCAUCUCGCCCAUCCUCAAGGCCGCGCUCGGCUACAACCAGCGCCACGUGGCGGCGCUCGGCAUCGCCAAGGACCUCGGCGACUGCGUCGGCUUCCUCGCCGGCUCGCUCUCCGCCAUGCUGCCCGCCUGGGCCAUGCUGCUCAUCGGCGCCCUGCAGAACUUCCUCGGAUACGGAUGGCUCUGGCUCAUAGUCACCAAGCAGGCGCCGCCGCUGCCCCUCUCCAUGAUGUGUGUCCUUAUUUUUGUUGGAACCAACGGCGAGACAUAUUUCAACACAACUUCACUGGUUACAUGCAUCCAGAAUUUCCCAAAGAGCAGGGGCCCAACUGUGGGCAUUCUGAAAGGAUUUGCUGGGCUUAGCAGUGCAAUUCUGACUCAACUGUUUGCAGUAAUGCACACACCAGACCAUGCAACUCUUAUCUUCAUGGUCGCAGUCGGGCCGUCACUUGUUGCCAUUGGCCUCAUGUUUGUUAUAAGGCCUGUCGGGGGUCACCGACAGGUGCGGUCAUCUGACAAGAACAGCUUCAUGUUCAUCUACACCAUUUGCUUGCUCCUUGCCUCAUAUCUCGUUGGUGUCAUGCUAGUCCAAGAUUUCCUGGAAGUGAGUGAUAAUGUGGCUAUUUCUCUCACAGUGUUUCUUUUCGUCUUGCUUAUUUUACCGAUCGCGAUCCCCGUGGUCCUGACGUUUAGCUUGAAAACUGAAUAUCCAAGUCCAUAUGAAGAGGCUCUGCUGUCUGAAGCAUUAAAAGGAGAGGCAGGUACUUCACAUGAAAGGGAGGAUCAACCAGAGUUGAUUCUAAGUGAGAUGGAAGACGAGAAGCCUAAAGACAUAGACUCUUUAUCCCCAUCUGAAAGGAGAAGGAGAAUUGCAGACUUGCAGACCAAGUUAGUUCAAGCUGCAGCAAGAGGUGGGGUUAGAGUCAGGAAGGGACCACGUAGGGGGGAGAACUUCACCCUGAUGCAGGCAUUGGUCAAGGCUGAUUUUUGGCUUAUUUGGUUAUCGCUUCUGCUCGGGUCUGGAUCAGGGCUGACGGUGAUUGAUAAUUUGGGUCAGAUGAGCCAAGCUGCUGGUUUCAAAGACGGGCAUAACUUCGUGUCAUUGACGAGCAUAUGGAACUUCCUUGGUCGUGUUGGAGGUGGCUAUUUCUCUGAGAAUAUUGUCAGGGAACAUAAAUACCCAAGGCACAUAGCAUUGGCCUUAGCUCAGAUACUCAUGGCUGCUGGGCAUUUCCUCUUUGCAAUGGCUUGGCCUGGAACUAUGUACAUGGGAACCUUCCUGGUUGGGCUUGGAUAUGGCACUCACUGGGCUAUUGUGCCGGCUGCUGUUUCUGAACUUUUCGGUGUAAAACACUUUGGCGCAAUGUAUAAUUUCCUCACAGUAGCAAACCCCACAGGGUCGCUGAUCUUCUCAGGUCUCAUUGCCAGUAGCUUCUAUGACUAUGAAGCUGAGAGGCAAGCGCAGCGCCGUCAGAGCUCAGCGUCGUCGUCUCCACAGUUUCUUCAGGGCAUGGGUUUACUUGCAGAUGGGCCACUGAAGUGUGAAGGGGCUGUUUGCUUCUUUGUCAGCUCGUUGAUCAUGUCAGCGUUUUGCGUCGUGGGUGCUGGCUUGAGCCUUGUCAUUGUUUACAGGACCAAGCGAGUCUACUCUCACCUCUAUCGAUCUGUCCGGUGA
rnacentral:rRNA from 1 species